rnacentral:rRNA from 1 species
GGGUUGUGAGGUUAAGCGACUAAGCGUACACGGUGGAUGCCCUGGCAGUCAGAGGCGAUGAAGGACGUGCUAAUCUGCGAUAAGCGUCGGUGAGGUGAUAUGAACCGUUAUAACCGGCGAUUUCCGAAUGGGGAAACCCAGUGUGUUUCGACACACUAUCAUUAACUGAAUCCAUAGGUUAAUGAGGCGAACCGGGGGAACUGAAACAUCUAAGUACCCCGAGGAAAAGAAAUCAACCGAGAUUCCCCCAGUAGCGGCGAGCGAACGGGGAGGAGCCCAGAGCCUGAAUCAGUGUGUGUGUUAGUGGAAGCGUCUGGAAAGGCGCGCGAUACAGGGUGACAGCCCCGUACACAAAAAUGCACAUAUUGUGAGCUCGAUGAGUAGGGCGGGACACGUGGUAUCCUGUCUGAAUAUGGGGGGACCAUCCUCCAAGGCUAAAUACUCCUGACUGACCGAUAGUGAACCAGUACCGUGAGGGAAAGGCGAAAAGAACCCCGGCGAGGGGAGUGAAAAAGAACCUGAAACCGUGUACGUACAAGCAGUGGGAGCCUCUUAAUGGGGUGACUGCGUACCUUUUGUAUAAUGGGUCAGCGACUUAUAUUCUGUAGCAAGGUUAACCGAAUAGGGGAGCCGAAGGGAAACCGAGUCUUAACUGGGCGUUAAGUUGCAGGGUAUAGACCCGAAACCCGGUGAUCUAGCCAUGGGCAGGUUGAAGGUUGGGUAACACUAACUGGAGGACCGAACCGACUAAUGUUGAAAAAUUAGCGGAUGACUUGUGGCUGGGGGUGAAAGGCCAAUCAAACCGGGAGAUAGCUGGUUCUCCCCGAAAGCUAUUUAGGUAGCGCCUCGUGAAUUCAUCUCCGGGGGUAGAGCACUGUUUCGGCAAGGGGGUCAUCCCGACUUACCAACCCGAUGCAAACUGCGAAUACCGGAGAAUGUUAUCACGGGAGACACACGGCGGGUGCUAACGUCCGUCGUGAAGAGGGAAACAACCCAGACCGCCAGCUAAGGUCCCAAAGUCAUGGUUAAGUGGGAAACGAUGUGGGAAGGCCCAGACAGCCAGGAUGUUGGCUUAGAAGCAGCCAUCAUUUAAAGAAAGCGUAAUAGCUCACUGGUCGAGUCGGCCUGCGCGGAAGAUGUAACGGGGCUAAACCAUGCACCGAAGCUGCGGCAGCGACGCUUAUGCGUUGUUGGGUAGGGGAGCGUUCUGUAAGCCUGUGAAGGUGGCCUGUGAGGGUUGCUGGAGGUAUCAGAAGUGCGAAUGCUGACAUAAGUAACGAUAAAGCGGGUGAAAAGCCCGCUCGCCGGAAGACCAAGGGUUCCUGUCCAACGUUAAUCGGGGCAGGGUGAGUCGACUCCUAAGGCGAGGCCGAAAGGCGUAGUCGAUGGGAAACAGGUUAAUAUUCCUGUACUUGGUGUUACUGCGAAGGGGGGACGGAGAAGGCUAUGUUGGCCGGGCGACGGUUGUCCCGGUUUAAGCGUGUAGGCUGGUUUUCCAGGCAAAUCCGGAAAACCAAGGCUGAGGCGUGAUGACGAGGCACUACGGUGCUGAAGUGACAAAUGCCCUGCUUCCAGGAAAAGCCUCUAAGCAUCAGGUAACAUCAAAUCGUACCCCAAACCGACACAGGUGGUCAGGUAGAGAAUACCAAGGCGCUUGAGAGAACUCGGGUGAAGGAACUAGGCAAAAUGGUGCCGUAACUUCGGGAGAAGGCACGCUGAUAUGUAGGUGAAGCGACUUGCUCGUGGAGCUGAAAUCAGUCGAAGAUACCAGCUGGCUGCAACUGUUUAUUAAAAACACAGCACUGUGCAAACACGAAAGUGGACGUAUACGGUGUGACGCCUGCCCGGUGCCGGAAGGUUAAUUGAUGGGGUUAGCGGUAACGCGAAGCUCUUGAUCGAAGCCCCGGUAAACGGCGGCCGUAACUAUAACGGUCCUAAGGUAGCGAAAUUCCUUGUCGGGUAAGUUCCGACCUGCACGAAUGGCGUAAUGAUGGCCAGGCUGUCUCCACCCGAGACUCAGUGAAAUUGAACUCGCUGUGAAGAUGCAGUGUACCCGCGGCAAGACGGAAAGACCCCGUGAACCUUUACUAUAGCUUGACACUGAACAUUGAGCCUUGAUGUGUAGGAUAGGUGGGAGGCUUUGAAGUGUGGACGCCAGUCUGCAUGGAGCCGACCUUGAAAUACCACCCUUUAAUGUUUGAUGUUCUAACGUUGGCCCGUAAUCCGGGUUGCGGACAGUGUCUGGUGGGUAGUUUGACUGGGGCGGUCUCCUCCUAAAGAGUAACGGAGGAGCACGAAGGUUGGCUAAUCCUGGUCGGACAUCAGGAGGUUAGUGCAAUGGCAUAAGCCAGCUUGACUGCGAGCGUGACGGCGCGAGCAGGUGCGAAAGCAGGUCAUAGUGAUCCGGUGGUUCUGAAUGGAAGGGCCAUCGCUCAACGGAUAAAAGGUACUCCGGGGAUAACAGGCUGAUACCGCCCAAGAGUUCAUAUCGACGGCGGUGUUUGGCACCUCGAUGUCGGCUCAUCACAUCCUGGGGCUGAAGUAGGUCCCAAGGGUAUGGCUGUUCGCCAUUUAAAGUGGUACGCGAGCUGGGUUUAGAACGUCGUGAGACAGUUCGGUCCCUAUCUGCCGUGGGCGCUGGAGAACUGAGGGGGGCUGCUCCUAGUACGAGAGGACCGGAGUGGACGCAUCACUGGUGUUCGGGUUGUCAUGCCAAUGGCACUGCCCGGUAGCUAAAUGCGGAAGAGAUAAGUGCUGAAAGCAUCUAAGCACGAAACUUGCCCCGAGAUGAGUUCUCCCUGAGACUUUAAGUCUCCUGAAGGAACGUUGAAGACGACGACGUUAAUAGGCCGGGUGUGUAAGCGCAGCGAUGCGUUGAGCUAACCGGUACUAAUGAACCGUGAGGCUUAACCUUACAACGCCGAAGGUGUUU